rnacentral:rRNA from 1 species
AGAGUUUGAUCCUGGCUCAGAACGAACGCUGGCGGCGUGCUUAAGACAUGCAAGUCGAACGGUAAGGCACCUUCGGGUGUACACGAGUGGCGCACGGGUGAGUAACGCGUGGGUAAUCUGCCUUCGGGUUUGGGACAACUCUGGGAAACUAGAGCUAAUACCGAAUAAGACCACGAGGUUUUCGGACUUCGCGGGAAAAGGUGGCCUCUUCUUGAAAGCUAUCGCCUGUAGAUGAGCCCGCGUCCCAUUAGUUUGUUGGUGAGGUAAAAGCUCACCAAGGCAUCGAUGGGUAACUGGUCUGAGAGGAUGAUCAGUCACACUGGAACUGAGACACGGUCCAGACUCCUACGGGAGGCAGCAGUCGGGAAUCUUGCACAAUGGGCGAAAGCCUGAUGCAGCAACGCCGCGUGAGGGAUGAAGGCCCUCGGGUCGUAAACCUCUGUCGGGAGGGAAGAACGGUAUCCGGGUUAAUAUCCCGGGUGUUUGACGGUACCUCCAAAGGAAGCACCGGCUAACUCUGUGCCAGCAGCCGCGGUAAUACAGAGGGUGCAAGCGUUGUUCGGAAUUAUUGGGCGUAAAGCGCAUGUAGGCGGCUUGGUAAGUCGGAUGUGAAAGCCCGGGGCUCAACCCCGGAAUUGCAUUCGAAACUGCCUCGCUAGAGUCUCGGAGAGGAAGGCGGAAUUCCCGGUGUAGAGGUGA